rnacentral:lncRNA from 1 species
CCCUCCUCCAGGCAGCCUUCUCUGACUGCAGCCACUGUCCUCAAGCCAGGUACCCUGUACUACUCCAGGCUCUCAAAGAACCCUGGAGUCCCAGAUAUUGGAGCACUUUCCACACUGUGUGCUGACUUCCUGGCUCCCCAAGCCCAGCCCCAAGAGAGCCUUGUUCCAGGGCACUUUUCUGCCUUUCCUUAUCCCUGUGUUUCUCCUCCUCACUCAGCACCUGGCCCUCUACGAGCAGGGUUCUCAUAUUUCACAGCUGGCCACUGCCCAUGACAUCUGGGUGCUGGAGGGAGCAGGAGCACUGGCACUGAAGCCUGCUGGGGGGUUAGGAUGCUUCUGAGCAGAGGAGGAGAGGUGUUUUGGCAGAGUGAACAGCGUGUGUGCUGGCCCAGAGGAUGUCCACGGAUGCGAAGGCUGGCCUUCCAAGGCUCUCUACCACCCCGCAGUGAGGCUGCAGCAGCACUAAGCCCAGCAGAGCCACCUGAGGCACCCGAAAGCCGCUGUCUGUCUUGGGAGCCUGAUCCGAGGUACGAUGCCUCCCUCCCCUCUCCUCUCUGGAGCCUCUUUCCUUCCAUCAUCAGGGGAACUCACUCCCCUCAAAGGAGAGGGUCAAGAUGGGAGCACUGUGCUACGUCAGUAGCCAGUCGCACAGCUCCCAGAGCUCCGAACAAAAGAGGUGCCGGGACCCAGGCACCUUUGUCAAAAGACGGCCAGUCUAGCCUCUGCUCCUGGAAGGCUCCAGCCUGUGGCCUGUGGAGUGAGCACAAACUCCUGCACAGUCUGGCCCACUGGAUAUAAAACAUCUAGAUGGCUUUGGACAGGGGAAGUAUAUCACAUUGCUAGGAUGUCCUUGGUUGCAGUGAAUAGCCCAGGGAGAGGUGGAACAAUUCAUUCCAGAGAGCAGCAUGAGUGAGGAAGUUGACAAGGACAACUCAGGACUUUCCAAACAAAAGAAGGAAGAAGCCAAGAUAAGGAUUUGGGACAUUUGGCCGACAAAUGGCGGAAGCAAUCAUUUCCGAAUCACUCUCGAAUGUGCAUUUCAUCCAUGUUUGUAGAACGCAAGCCUGCACACGCCUUCCACACUGUGGCACCCGGUCACGGCAGGGACUCGGUUUACAGACUUUUAUAUGUGCAGAAGGCAUCUCUCGUGCACAUACAUUCUGCACAUACUCCGACAUAAAUAAACAUGGUUUGGUUUUAAGAAUUUUAAACAAGCGGAUGUAAAACUAUUGAAAUAAGAUGCUAAGGUUUAUUUAGAGCUCUUGGAGAUCCAGCUCUCUCCCAGGUUCUGCCGAUGGCAACUGCUCCCUCCCCUUGGCCCUUCAGACAGAGCACUAGUAAGGGCUCCCCACUGUUUCUAGACCUGGGGUGUUGCAAGAACCUCAACCCUGCCCCCAGCUUUAUAAUGGUACCUUUACUCAAUUCUACUCUUCAGUUGCCACAUAUUAGUGGGACAUCUGACCAAUACAGGGGAUCAGGCAAGAAGAAUCAGAGAAAUAAAAAGGAAAUCAAGAAAAAUGGUAUCCUACGAGCCAAGAUAAUUUCAAGAAAUGGGGUAUGACCUUAGGAUAAGAGUCACGGAGGUUAAGAAUCUGAAGAGAGGCCAUGAGCGUAGGAAGAAAUCUUUCCAGAAUGAAAUUUUUCCUCAAACGUGAGACAUUAUAUCCUCUCUAGCGCAAUGCUGUGUAUACAGCAAGAGGGUGAUAAUAUCUGUGACUGGCUGAGUUGAUGAACCAAUCAGUCAUAGGCAUUCAACAACCACUCGUUAAACGGUCAAAUGAAUACAUGAGUUGAAGCUCGGGAUAGGACUGGCGCGUUUCAGUUCACAUACUAAGGAACCCCCUUAAUAAGCUUCAGCAAUUGUGUAGUUUGUUCUUGGUAUCCUGAGUUCUGAAAUGUAAUACAUUCUACAUUUUCGCCCUUUUAUUUCCUUUCUCGAAGUUUCUAAAAAUGAAACGAAACGUCCGUGUGCAUGAGUGAUCCCUGCCACCCGCCGUUGCCCGCAUUCCUCCUCUCCGUCACUCUCUCUGAUAUUCCGUUCUUGCCCUCCACUUGUCCCCACAUCAUGUCCAGACGGCUGCAGGCUCCAAAUGCCCAGGAGUCAGCUGAUCCCGGGAUCGGCACCAGGCUUCGCUCUGGGCAGAACUCUUACCUUCUAAAGAGCUUUUCACUGGGUCUUUGAUGUGAUUUCGCCAGCUCUGUGUCAGGACAGGAAUGAAUGUUCUCAUAUUCUUGCUCUCUCUCUCUUUCAUUCAGACACACACACGCACCAACAUGAACAUUUACCCCACAUGCUCAAGCUCACCUCACCCAAGGAACCCAAGGCCCUGGUGUCCGGGGAAUGAGAGCCAAGGCCAAAACCAGCUCAAGAUAUCCUUCCCCUGUCCCUGUGCAGUGCAGUGGGCCACCCAUUCCCAAGGAAAGGCCUCCAACUCCCUUUGUCCAGUUCCCUACCCUGGACCUGUCCUCAUCCUCUCUCUCCUGAAGGUGACGCAGGCUUUGGUCCCAUGCUGGAGGCGGGGGGCGGUGGGGGAGCUGCACUUAGACAUGGAAAAGCCCCCAGAUUCCUGAGCAUGCAUGGGCACAGACAGGCCUCUGGGACACAUUCUGGAUGGCUCUGGGCAGAUGUCCUUUCCUUCUUUUUCCAGAAAAAAAAAAAAACUCCAGACAACACAUUGAUCACAAAUGCUAAUAUCCUAGCAAUUGAUAGGCCUGGAUCACGCUACGUGAAAAGAAAGGUCGCCAGACAGGCUGUAUAUACACGUGCACCAUGCAUGCUGUCUCUGUCUCUAGCUCUGCCUCUCCGGACCUGUCUGAAUGCUCCGUCUGUCUCUGUCUCUGUGUGUCUCUGUCUCUUUCUGUAGCUCUGUCUCUCUCUGCCUGUGUUUUUCUCUGUCUCUGGCUCUCUGUGUGACUCUCUAUCUCCCUCUCCUCUCUCCCCCCACCCCUACUGUGUGUCCAACUCAGCUCAAGCCCAUCUCCCUCACACUUCCUAUAAGCCCCUCCUGGAAUGGCCCACCCCCAAGGGCCACUCAUGAAGUGAGGAC